rnacentral:rRNA from 2 species
CUUCGGGGUGACGAUGGUGGAACGAGCGGCGGACGGGUGAGUAACACGUGGGCAACCUACCUUUUAGACUGGGAUAACCCCGGGAAACCGGAGCUAAUACCAGAUAGCCCCAUCGAUCGCCUGAUCGAUGGGAGAAAGCGGGGAGCAAUCCUCGCCCUAGAAGAUGGGCCCGCGGCGCAUUAGCUAGUUGGGAAGGUAAAGGCUUCCCAAGGCAACGAUGCGUAGCCGACCUGAGAGGGUGAUCGGCCACACUGGGACUGAGACACGGCCCAGACUCCUACGGGAGGCAGCAGUAGGGAAUCAUCCGCAAUGGGCGAAAGCCUGACGGUGCAACGCCGCGUGAGUGAAGAAGGUUUUCGGAUCGUAAAGCUCUGUUAUCCGAGAAGAACAAGGACUGGUCGAAUAGGCCGGUCCCCUGACGGUACCGGAUCAGAAAGCCCCGGCUAACUACGUGCCAGCAGCCGCGGUAAUACGUAGGGGGCAAGCGUUGUCCGGAAUUAUUGGGCGUAAAGGGCGCGCAGGCGGUUUCCUAAGUCUGAUGUG